rnacentral:sRNA from 1 species
AGUUUUAAAUAUGACCAGUCUGUAGAGACAUCAAACAAACAUCCCAACAUAGUUGGAAUAAUCUGAAAUUUGGUAGGAGAAGUGGAACUAAGUUCUGGUAUGAAGACAUCAAAUUUUGAGUUCAAAAUGUUAAAUGAACAACAGUGUUCCGGGUUGUUUAAUUUAUUUAUAGGCUUAUAGAACUAUGUUGGGUUAAGGUUAGUAUGUUUAAAUUCAUUCUUGUUUUCAACCCAUAAUAACGGAUGUAUUACGUAGAAGAAGAUGGAGGAGAAGAUGAGGAAGAAAAUGAUGAAGAUGACGAAAAAGAGGAAGAAGAAGAAUAUAAUAAAGAAGCGGAUGGUGAAAGUAACAAAAAUAAUGACCAUGAAUUUGAUAAUAAAAAUAACGAGAAGGAAUAUAAAGAGUAUACAAAGACAUGUGUUGACAAUGAUUUGAAUAUGAGAAAUGAGUUU